rnacentral:sRNA from 1 species
GUGCGGGCCCCUGGCCCUCACACUCCUCACACCCCCUGGCCCGGCGCGUCCGGGCUUU